rnacentral:lncRNA from 1 species
UGGCCUUGGAGCCACCACAGGUCAAUGAGGAAGAAGUCCAUGGAGGCAGGGAGGCUCAAAGGCAGCACUGAAGCUUGUCAAAUGAGGCAGCAAGAAGGUCCUAGGAAGACUUAGGCAUCCAGAUUUGAUCAUGUGUGUGAACCAUUGAGGGCUGAAGGGUGAAAUGACAGAAGGAAGUCUGGAAAGCUAAGCUGGUGUCAUAUGCAGGAAGAAGGAAGCUGAAGGCUGUGGCCUGGGUUGGAACUAGUUUGCUGGAAGUGAGUGUACAAAAAAGUAGGUGACAAGUGGCCUUGUGGUGAAGGAAAAACUUCCAGUUUCGUAGUAAAAUGAACAUGGGGGAAAGAAGAGUGUCAGCCAAUUUGGAGCCCUCAAGUCUCAUGAACAGCAUGACAUGGCAGUCUAGGCCGGAGUGCUUUUUUUUUUUUUCUUUUUUAAUCUUGAGACAGAGUCUCGCUCUUGUUGCCCAGGCUGGAGUACAAUAGCACGAUCUUGGCUCACUGCAACCU